rnacentral:tRNA from 1 species
GGGCUUGUAGUUAAGUGGUAAAACGCACUGCUCAUAACUGUGUAAUCGGAGGUUCGAAUCCUUUCAAGCUCA